GCACGUAGGCGGACUUUUAAGUCAGAGGUGAAAUCCCUGGGCUCAAUCCCGGAACUGCCUUUGAUACUGGAAGUCUUGAGUAUGGUAGAGGUGAGUGGAAUUACGAGUGUAGAGGUGAAAUUCGUAGAUAUUCGGAGGAACGCCAGUGGCGAAGGCGGCUCACUGGAUCAUUUCUGACGCUGAGGUGCGAAAGCGUGGGGAGCAAACAGGCUUAGAUACCUUGGUAGUUCAUGCCGUAAAUGAUGAAUGUUAGCCGUUGGGGAGUUUACUCUUCGGUGGCGCAGCUAACGCAUUAAACAUUCCGCCUGGGGAGUACGGUCGCUAGAUUAAAACUCAAUGGAAUUGACGGGGGCCCGCACAAGCGGUGGAGCAUGUGGUUUAAUUCGAAGCAACGCGCAGAACCUUACCAGCCCUUGACAUACCGGUCGCGGACACAGAGAUGUGUCUUUC
rnacentral:rRNA from 1 species